rnacentral:misc_RNA from 1 species
UUUCCGUAGGUGAACCUGCGGAAGGAUCAUUAACGAGUAACUGAACGGGUUGUAGCUGGCCUCUCGGGGCAUGUGCACACCUGGCUCAUCCACUCUUCAACCUCUGUGCACUUGUUGUAGGUCGGCAGAAGGGCGAGCCUUAAAACAGCUCGCUUGGAAGCCUUCCUAUGUUUUAUUACAAACGCUUCAGUUUAAGAAUGUAACCUGCGUAUAACGCAACUAUAUACAACUUUCAGCAACGGAUCUCUUGGCUCUCGCAUCGAUGAAGAACGCAGC